CUACUUACCUGGCAAGGAAGAUACCAUGAUCACGAAGGUGGUUUUCCCAGGGCGAGGCUUAUCCAUUGCACUACGGAUGCACUGACCCCUGUGAUUUCCCCAAAUGUGGGAAACUCGACUGCAUAAUUUGUGGUAGCGGGGGACUGUGUUCGUGCUUUCCCCUG
rnacentral:snRNA from 1 species